GAACAUACCGGGUGUACGUGACAACUGUUCCUAUGCAACUUAUUGUCAAGUUCACCCAAGUACGAAACGAGGUCAUGCUACACAUGCAGUUUCCAAUUCACCUCCUGUAAUUAGCUUGGCAUUUCCUGCCGCCCCAUAAGGGAAUGGUUAGGGGCCAACCUAGAGCCGUUACGUACCUUCUCCAGCUCCUUCUCGAUCUCUCCAGCCCUAAUUACAAGGGGCCCCCUAACCGCGUACUC